rnacentral:rRNA from 1 species
UGUGUAGGUGGUUGGAUAAGUUAGAUGUGAAAUCCCUGGGCUUAACCUGGGAACUGCGUUUAAAACUGUUCAGCUAGAGUACUGUAGAGGAUAGUGGAAUUUCCAGUGUAGCGGUGAAAUGCGUAGAUAUUGGAAGGAACACCAGUGGCGAAGGCGACUAUCUGGACAGAUACUGACACUGAGACACGAAAGCGUGGGGAGACAAACA